rnacentral:rRNA from 1 species
UUAAAUUGAAGAGUUUGAUCAUGGCUCAGAUUGAACGCUGGCGGCAGGCCUAACACAUGCAAGUCGAACGGUAACAGGAAGAAGCUUGCUUCUUUGCUGACGAGUGGCGGACGGGUGAGUAAUGUCUGGGAAACUGCCUGAUGGAGGGGGAUAACUACUGGAAACGGUAGCUAAUACCGCAUAACGUCGCAAGACCAAAGAGGGGGACCUUCGGGCCUCUUGCCAUCGGAUGUGCCCAGAUGGGAUUAGCUAGUAGGUGGGGUAACGGCUCACCUAGGCGACGAUCCCUAGCUGGUCUGAGAGGAUGACCAGCCACACUGGAACUGAGACACGGUCCAGACUCCUACGGGAGGCAGCAGUGGGGAAUAUUGCACAAUGGGCGCAAGCCUGAUGCAGCCAUGCCGCGUGUAUGAAGAAGGCCUUCGGGUUGUAAAGUACUUUCAGCGGGGAGGAAGGGAGUAAAGUUAAUACCUUUGCUCAUUGACGUUACCCGCAGAAGAAGCACCGGCUAACUCCGUGCCAGCAGCCGCGGUAAUACGGAGGGUGCAAGCGUUAAUCGGAAUUACUGGGCGUAAAGCGCACGCAGGCGGUUUGUUAAGUCAGAUGUGAAAUCCCCGGGCUCAACCUGGGAACUGCAUCUGAUACUGGCAAGCUUGAGUCUCGUAGAGGGGGUAGAAUUCCAGGUGUAGCGGUGAAAUGCGUAGAGAUCUGGAGGAAUACCGGUGGCGAAGGCGGCCCCCUGGACGAAGACUGACGCUCAGGUGCGAAAGCGUGGGGAGCAAACAGGAUUAGAUACCCUGGUAGUCCACGCCGUAAACGAUGUCGACUUGGAGGUUGUGCCCUUGAGGCGUGGCUUCCGGAGCUAACGCGUUAAGUCGACCGCCUGGGGAGUACGGCCGCAAGGUUAAAACUCAAAUGAAUUGACGGGGGCCCGCACAAGCGGUGGAGCAUGUGGUUUAAUUCGAUGCAACGCGAAGAACCUUACCUGGUCUUGACAUCCACGGAAGUUUUCAGAGAUGAGAAUGUGCCUUCGGGAACCGUGAGACAGGUGCUGCAUGGCUGUCGUCAGCUCGUGUUGUGAAAUGUUGGGUUAAGUCCCGCAACGAGCGCAACCCUUAUCCUUUGUUGCCAGCGGUCCGGCCGGGAACUCAAAGGAGACUGCCAGUGAUAAACUGGAGGAAGGUGGGGAUGACGUCAAGUCAUCAUGGCCCUUACGACCAGGGCUACACACGUGCUACAAUGGCGCAUACAAAGAGAAGCGACCUCGCGAGAGCAAGCGGACCUCAUAAAGUGCGUCGUAGUCCGGAUUGGAGUCUGCAACUCGACUCCAUGAAGUCGGAAUCGCUAGUAAUCGUGGAUCAGAAUGCCACGGUGAAUACGUUCCCGGGCCUUGUACACACCGCCCGUCACACCAUGGGAGUGGGUUGCAAAAGAAGUAGGUAGCUUAACCUUCGGGAGGGCGCUUACCACUUUGUGAUUCAUGACUGGGGUGAAGUCGUAACAAGGUAACCGUAGGGGAACCUGCGGUUGGAUCACCUCCUUACCUUAAAGAAGC